rnacentral:rRNA from 1 species
UAAGUUGGUAGUGAAAGCGUGGGGCUCAACCCCAUAAACAUUAUCAAAACUACAAAGCUAGAGGAUGAGAGAGGUUAUUGGAAUUCCUUGUGUAGGAGUGAAAUCCGUAGAUAUAAGGAGGAACACCGAUGGCGUAGGCAGAUAACUGGCUCAUUCCUGACACUAAGGCACGAAAGCGUGGGUAGCAAACGGGAUUAGAUACCCCGGUAGUCCACGCUGUAAACGAUGGAUGCUA